rnacentral:lncRNA from 1 species
AUUAGUCUAAUAUUAUAUUCAUUAAUAAAAUAUAAUUGAAUAUUAAAGAUAUAGAAAGCCUUUAUUAAUAAUAAAUAUGUUUUACAUGAAUAAAAUCAAUACUACGUAAACCAACCGAUUGACUACAAAACAAAUUCACUAACAUUAAAAAGUUAUUACAACUCUGUAUAUAGAAAAAACUAGAAAACCUUAUUAAUACUGAAUAUAUAAAUAAAAAAUAAAAAAACUAUUCCCUUCAAAUAAAAAAACUAAAAAAGCC